AGCAGCCGCGGUAAUUCUAGCUCCAAUAGCGUAUAUUAAAGUUGCUGCAGUUAAAAAGCUCGUAGUUGAAUUUCGGGACUAAUAUGUUGGUCGUGCCUCGGUACGUACUGAUAUUUUUGGUUUCUCCCUUCUGACGAACCUUGAUGUCAUUAAUUUGGUGUCUUGGGGAAAUCAGGACUGUUACCUUGAAAAAAUUAGAGUGUUUAAAGCAGGCUCACGCUUGAAUACAUUAGCAUGGAAUAAUGAAAUAGGACGUUUGAUUCUAUUUUGUUGGUUUCUAGGAUUGACGUAAUGAUUAAUAGGGAUAGUUGGGGGCAUUAGUAUUCAAUUGUCAGAGGUGAAAUUCUUGGAUUUAUUGAAGACUAACUACUGCGAAAGCAUUUGCCAAGGAUGUUUUCAUUAAUCAAGAACGAAAGUUAGGGGAUCGAAGACGAUCAGAUACCGUCGUAGUCUUAACCAUAAACUAUGCCGACUAGGGGAUCGGAUGAUGUUAAUUUUUUUAAUGACUCAUUCGGCGCCU
rnacentral:rRNA from 1 species